CACGCCGUAAACGAUGAUAACUAGCUGCCAGGGCUCUUAGAGCUUUGGUGGCGCAGCUAACGCAUUAAGUUAUCCGCCUGGGGAGUACGGUCGCAAGAUUAAAACUCAAAGGAAUUGACGGGGGCCUGCACAAGCGGUGGAGCAUGUGGUUUAAUUCGAAGCAACGCGCAGAACCUUACCAGCGUUUGACAUCCUCAUCGCGGAUUCCAGAGAUGGAUUCCUUCAGUUCGGCUGGAUGAGUGACAGGUGC
rnacentral:rRNA from 2 species